UACGAAGGGGGCUAGCGUUGCUCGGAAUUACUGGGCGUAAAGCGCACGUAGGCGGACCGAUAAGUCGGGGGUGAAAUCCUGGAGCUCAACUCCAGAACUGCCUUCGAAACUGCCGGUCUUGAGUUCGGGAGAGGUGAGUGGAACUGCGAGUGUAGAGGUGAAAUUCGUAGAUAUUCGCAAGAACACCAGUGGCGAAGGCGGCUCACUGGCCCGAUACUGACGCUGAGGUGCGAAAGCGUGGGGAGCAACA
rnacentral:rRNA from 1 species